UUAGAGUUUGAUCCUGGCUCAGAACGUACGCUGGCGGCACGCCUAACACAUGCAAGUCGAACGAAGUAGCAAUACUUAGUGGCAGACGGGUGAGUAACAUGUAGGUAUCUGCCCUUUGGCCUGGAAUAACACGAGGAAACUUGUGCUAAUACCGGAUAAGUCUUUACGGAGAAAGCUUUAUGCACCAUUGGAUGAGCCUGCACUUGAUUAGUUUGUUGGUGGGGUAAUGGCCUACCAAGACUGUGAUCAAUAGCUGAUUUGAGAGGAUGAUCAGCCACAUUGGGACUGAGACACGGCCCAAACUCCUACGGGAGGCAGCAGUGGGGAAUCUUGCACAAUGGAGGAAACUCUGAUGCAGCGAUGCCGCGUGAGUGAAGAAGGCCUUUGGGUUGUAAAGCUCUUUCGUCGGGGAAGAAAAUGACUGUACCCGAAUAAGAAGGUCCGGCUAACUUCGUGCCAGCAGCCGCGGUAAUACGAAGGGACCUAGCGUAGUUCGGAAUUACUGGGCUUAAAGAGUUCGUAGGUGGUUGAAAAAGUUAGUGGUGAAAUCCCAGAGCUUAACUCUGGAACUGCCAUUAAAACUUUUCAGCUAGAGUAUGAUAGAGGAAAGCAGAAUUUCUAGUGUAGAGGUGAAAUUCGUAGAUAUUAGAAAGAAUACCAAUUGCGAAGGCAGCUUUCUGGAUCAUUACUGACACUGAGGAACGAAAGCAUGGGUAGCGAAGAGGAUUAGAUACCCUCGUAGUCCAUGCCGUAAACGAUGUGUGUUAGACGUUGGAAAUUUAUUUUCAGUGUCGCAGGGAAACCGAUAAACACACCGCCUGGGGAGUACGACCGCAAGGUUAAAACUCAAAUGAAUUGACGGGGACCCGCACAAGUAGUGGAGCAUGUGGUUUAAUUCGAAGAUACGCGCAGAACCUUACCAACACUUGACAUGUUCGUCGCGACUCUAAGAGAUUAGAGUUUUCGGUUCGGCCGGACGAAACACAGGUGCUGCAUGGCUGUCGUCAGCUCGUGUCGUGAGAUGUUGGGUUAAGUCCCGCAACGAGCGCAACCCUCACUUUUAGUUGCCAUCAUUAAGUUGGGCACUCUGAAAGAACUGCCAGUGAUAAGCUGGAGGAAGGUGGGGAUGACGUCAAGUCCUCAUGGCCCUUACGUGUUGGGCUACACACGUGCUACAAUGGUAUCUACAACAGGAAGCAAGACUGCGAAGUUAAGCAAAUCCCUAAAAGAUACCUCAGUUCGGAUUGCACUCUGCAACUCGAGUGCAUGAAGCUGGAAUUACUAGUAAUCGUGGAUCAGCGUGCCACGGUGAAUGCGUUCCCGGGUCUUGUACACACCGCCCGUCACACCAUGGGAGUUGGUUCUACCUUAAGGCAAGGUUUCAAACCCUUGACCACGGUAUAGUCAGCGACUGGGGUGAAGUCGUAACAAGGUAACC
rnacentral:rRNA from 1 species